rnacentral:rRNA from 1 species
CCUACGGGAGGCAGCAGUGAGGAAUAUUGGUCAAUGGACGAGAGUCUGAACCAGCCAAGUAGCGUGAAGGAUGACUGCCCUAUGGGUUGUAAACUUCUUUUAUAGGGGAAUAAAACGUUGCACGUGUGGGAUUUUGUAUGUACCAUAUGAAUAAGGAUCGGCUAACUCCGUGCCAGCAGCCGCGGUAAUACGGCGGCUCCGAGCGUUAUGCGGAUUGAUUGGGUUUAAAGGGAGCGUAGGGGGUUUGUUAAGUCAGUUGUGAAAGCUUGCGGCUCAACCGUAAAAUUGCAGUUGAAACUGGCAGUCUUGCGUACAGUAGAGGUCGGCGGACUUCGUGUUGUAGCGGUGCAAUGCUUAGAUAUCACGAAGAACUCCGAUUGCGAAGGCAGUUCACUGGACUGCAACUGACACUGAGGCUCGAAAGUGUGGGUAUCAAACAGGAUUAGAUACCCCGGUAGUC